GGUGAACGCUGGCGGCGUGCUUAAGACAUGCAAGUCGAACGCAGUCUUCGGACUGAGUGGCGCACGGGUGAGUAACACGUAACUGACCUACCCCCAAGUCGCGAAUAACCAGCCGAAAGGAUGGCUAAUACGUGAUGUGAUGAUCCGCUGUGGCGGAUCAUUAAAGACUUGAUCGCUUGGGGAUGGGGUUGCGUUCCAUCAACUAGUUGGUAAGGUAAAGGCUUACCAAGGCAACGACGGAUAGCCGGCCUGAGAGGGUGGCCGGCCACAGGGGCACUGAGACACGGGUCCCACUCCUACGGGAGGCAGCAGUUAGGAAUCUUCCACAAUGGGCGCAAGCCUGAUGGAGCGACGCCGCGUGAGGGAUGAAGGUUCUCGGAUCGUAAACCUCUGAACCAACGACGAAAGACCCGACAAGGGAGAUGACGGUAGUUGGGUAAUAGCACCGGCUAACUCCGUGCCAGCAGCCGCAGUAAAAC
rnacentral:rRNA from 1 species